UUACUUCAGUGGCAAAUAUACUAAAAUUGGACCGAUACAAAGAAGAUUAGCAUGGCCCCCACUCAAGGAGGACACACAAAUUUUGAAGCAUUCCAUUAAAAA